rfam:Mustela putorius furo unplaced genomic scaffold scaffold00100, whole genome shotgun sequence.
GUAUACGGCCAUACCACCCUGAAUGCCCCCGAUCUCGUCUGAUCUCGGAAGCUAAGCAGGGUCGGGCCUGGUUAGUUCUUGGGUGGGAGAUGAUGAGAAGGAAAAGAUCCCAUUCAAA